GAUGAACGCUGGCGGCGUGCCUAAUACAUGCAAGUCGAGCGAACGGACGAGAAGCUUGCUUCUCUGAUGUUAGCGGCUGACGGGUGAGUAACACGUGGAUAACCUACCUAUAAUACUGGGAUAACUUCGGGAAACCGUAGCUAAUACCGGAUAAUAUUUUGAACCGCAUGGUUCAAAAGUGAAAGACGGUCUUGCUGUCACUUAUAGAUGGAUCCGCGCUGCAUUAGCUAGUUGGUAAGGUAACGGCUUACCAAGGCAACGAUGCAUAGCCGACCUGAGAGGGUGAUCGGCCACACUGGAACUGAGACACGGUCCAGACUCCUACGGGAGGCAGCAGUAGGGAAUCUUCGGCAAUGGGCGAAAGCCUGACGGAGCAACGCCGCGUGAGUGAUGAAGGUCUUCGGAUCGUAAAACUCUGUUAUUAGGGAAGAACAUAUGUGUAAGUAACUGUGCACAUCUUGACGGUACCUAAUCAGAAAGCCACGGCUAACUACGUG
rnacentral:rRNA from 1 species